CAGCCGCCGCGGUAAUACGAAGGGGGCUAGCGUUGUUCGGAUUUACUGGGCGUAAAGCGCACGUAGGCGGACUUUUAAGUCAGGGGUGAAAUCCCGGGGCUCAACCCCGGAACUGCCUUUGAUACUGGAAGUCUUGAGUAUGGUAGAGGUGAGUGGAAUUCCGAGUGUAGAGGUGAAAUUCGUAGAUAUUCGGAGGAACACCAGUGGCGAAGGCGGCUUACUGGACCAUUACUGACGCUGAGGUGCGAAAGCGUGGGGAGCAAACAGGAUUAGAUACCCCGGUAGUCCCUGUCUCUUAUAA
rnacentral:rRNA from 1 species